UCACUGCUAAAAUUUACGGUCUUCAUAGGUUCGUAAAGGAAAGGAAUGCUGAAAUUGACUUGAAGGAGAGGAGUAUAGUAUUUUUUUCAUGGAAUUAUUAAAGGUGAACUCUUGAAAGAUAUAAA